GCGCUAUUAAUUUAAUUGGUAGAAUUAUGAUUUUGUAAGUCAUCCGAGAAAGUUCGAAUCUUUCAUGGCGCU
rnacentral:tRNA from 2 species